CAAUAGCGUAUAUUAAAGUUGUUGCAGUUAAAAAGCUCGUAGUUGGAUUUCUGGUGAGAUGGAUUAUGUCUAGGUCGAAAGAUCUUGUUCAUGGUUCGUUUUGCCCUUCUUGUCAGGAACCCGCUGAGAUUCGCGUCUUGUCGGUGGAAUGGCAUCGUUUACUGUGAAAAAAUUAGAGUGUUCAAAGCAGGCAUCGCCGUUGAAUACAUUAGCAUGGAAUAAUAAGAUAAGACUUUGGUGGUCUAUUUUGUUGGUUUGCACGCCAAAGUAAUGAUUAAUAGGGAUAGUUGGGGGUAUUCGUAUGCUAUUGCUAGAGGUGAAAUUCUUAAAUUUAUGGAAGACGAACUACUGCGAAAGCAUUUACCAAGGAUGUUUUCAUUAA
rnacentral:rRNA from 1 species